CGCCCACGGACUGCUGGAGAUAGGCACCAGCUCCCCUGCAACCCAGUAUGGAAGAAGCAGGAUGCGGGAAAGUGAGGACAUCAUGGGCCAGAACUGAUUCGAUAAAGCAAACCCCUGCUGUUGGAGAAUAACGACGGAGAGGCUAAAAAAGUAAAAAGAGGAGUACUAGAGAGUCAGCAGGAGAAGAGGACGAAGGAGGUCGUAGGCAGAUGUUUAUUUGAUGUACUGUCCUGUUCUCAGAACAUUCUGAGAGCAACAAAAGGUAUCUGAGCACAUAAAUAAAACCUGAAGUGAUGCUGGACAGUCCACUGUUUGAGUGGAAGACGAUUACGUAAGAGUGUAGGCAUGGAAAGAUGAUGCAGCGAGAACAAUACUAUUAACUAUUAAGAGCUGAGUCAUGUGCACCUCUCUGUAAGUCAAUCACUCUUCUAAAUAAAAGACUCACCUUGAACCUAGGAGCUGCAGAGGAGGAAGAGGAAGAAGAGCAACA